AGUGAACACUGGCGGUAGGCCUAACACAUGCAAGUCGAACGGCAGCACAGUAAGAGCUUGCUCUUACGGGUGGCGAGUGGCGGACGGGUGAGGAAUACAUCGGAAUCUACUUUUUCGUGGGGGAUAACGUAGGGAAACUUACGCUAAUACCGCAUACGACCUACGGGUGAAAGCAGGGGAUCUUCGGACCUUGCGCGAUUGAAUGAGCCGAUGUCGGAUUAGCUAGUUGGCGGGGUAAAGGCCCACCAAGGCGACGAUCCGUAGCUGGCCUGAGAGGAUGAUCAGCCACACUGGAACUGAGACACGGUCCAGACUCCUACGGGAGGCAGCAGUGGGGAAUAUUGGACAAUGGGCGCAAGCCUGAUCCAGCCAUACCGCGUGGGUGAAGAAGGCCUUCGGGUUGUAAAGCCCUUUUGUUGGGAAAGAAAAGCAGCAGGUUAAUACCCCGCUGUUCUGACGGUACCCAAAGAAUAAGCACCGGCUAACUUCGUG
rnacentral:rRNA from 1 species